GUACAGCUUUAAUUGGUAUUUCAACUGGAUCCUUGGAUGGUUAGGAGUUGCUUUUAGCUUGGCCUUUUCGAUCGGAGGAAUUUGGAGUAUGGUCACUAAUGGACUUAAACUCAGGUUCUUUAAGCCCAACUAAGAGAUAGAUCAUGAAUAAAAAAGCGCGCUUUGGUAUGUAAACUUGAAUUUGCUAGUAGUAGUUUGUAAUGUGUGUUUCUAUUCUAGGCUUGAGAAAAGGUGAAGUGGAGAAACAACGCGUUCGUGCGUGUGUGUUGGUUGGUUCGGAGGAAGGAAUAGGAAUAUGUAUAAAGCCAUAGGUACAAACAUGUUCUUGUUUUCUACCUUUGGAAUUUGGUGUUGUAUGCCUUAUGAAAUCGUUCGAAAUUCACAUUUUAUAGAAACUAGAAUGUUU
rnacentral:misc_RNA from 1 species